UAGGGAAUCUUCCACAAUGGACGCAAGUCUGAUGGAGCAACGCCGCGUGAGUGAAGAAGGCUUUCGGGUCGUAAAACUCUGUUAUUGAAGAAGAACGUGCGUGACAGUAACUGGUCAUGCAGUGACGGUAUUCAAUCAGAAAGUCACGGCUAACUACGUGCCAGCAGCCGCGGUAAUACGUAGGUGGCAAGCGUUGUCCGGAUUUAUUGGGCGUAAAGCGAGUGCAGGCGGUCUUUUAAGUCUGAUGUGAAAGCCUUCGGCUUAACCGAAGAAGGGCAUCGGAAACUGGGAGACUUGAGUGCAGAAGAGGAGAGUGGAACUCCAUGUGUAGCGGUGAAAUGCGUAGAUAUAUGGAAGAACACCAGUGGCGAAGGCGGCUCUCUGGUCUGUAACUGACGCUGAGGCUCGAAAGCGUGGGUAGCAAACA
rnacentral:rRNA from 1 species